rnacentral:rRNA from 1 species
UAGUCCACGCCGUAAACGAUGAGUACUAGCUAUUGGGGGUAUUGACUCCCUCAGUGGCGCAGCUAACGCAUUAAGUACUCCGCCUGGAGUACGGUCGCAAGGCUAAAACUCAAAGGAAUUGACGGGGGCCCGCACAAGCGGUGGAGUAUGUGGUUUAAUUCAAAGCAACGCGCAGAACCUUACCUACCCUUAACAUUUCACGACGUAUACAGAGAUGUAUAUUUCUCUUCGGAGACGUGAGGAUAGGUGCUGCAUGGCUGUCGUCAGCUCGUGUCGUAAGAUGUCUGGUUAAGUCCAAUAACGAGCGCAACCCUUAUCCUUAGUUACCAGCAUUAAGUUGGGGACUCUAGGGAGACUGCCGGUGUUAAACCGGAGGAAGGCGGGGAUGACGUCAAGUCCUCAUGGCCCUUACGGGUAGGGCUACACACGUACUACAAUGGCAGAUACAAACCGUUUGCAAAGCCGCGAGGUUGAGCUAAUCGGUAAAACACUGUCCCAGUCCGGAUUGGAGUCUGCAACUCGACUCCA